UUUAUUAAAAAAAAAAAACUUACUAUUAGAUAAGGGUAAGGAAUAAGAACAAUUUAGAUUUUGGAUGAUAUGGAUGCAGACUAAGAAGGAUAGGAAUUAUUAGAACUAUAAUCAUAAUCCAUAUUGUUUCUUUAUUUUGAUUUUGGAGUUGCUCUAAUUAUGGAAGCACUUUCCCUUUCCCUUCCCCUUCCCCUAAUCACUGUUACCAAUUCCAAUGCCAACUACACUCCUCUGACUGCUGCUACUAGUUAUUCAUCACUCUCAUCCUUACAACACCGUCCUUCUUCCUCAACCACCAAACCCUUCACUUUUAAGAGUGUUGUUCGUGUUCGAGCUGAGGGUGAAGAUAAUGAGUUGAAGCAAAUGAGGGAUAUGGCUGCUGCCAGAAAGAGAUGGGAAUCUCUGAUCAGGGAUGAAAAAAUUAAAGUUCUUACCCCAAGGGAAGCUGGGUAUGCAGUACAGCUUUCAAACAAGCCUCUUAUUGAUGUUCGCCCCUCAAAUGAACAUAGCAAGGCAUGGGUGAGAGGUUCGACCUGGAUUCCAAUAUUUGAUGUCGAUAAUGGUUUAGAUGUUGGAACCAUUCCUAGAAAAAUCACAAAUUUUGCUAUGGGAGGUUGGUGGAGUGGCAUGCCUACCCUGUCUUUUGACAACUCGUUCUUACCCAAAGUUGAGGAGAAGUUCCCCAAAGAUACAGAAUUAAUUGUUGCAUGCCAGAAGGGACUGAGAUCACUAGCUGCUUGUGAACUACUCUAUAAUGCUGGCUACAGAAACCUGUUCUGGGUUCAAGGAGGCUUCGAGGCUGCUGAAGAAGAGGAUCUUGUAGUUGAGGGUCAAGUGCCUCUUAAGUUUGCUGGAAUUGGUGGUGUUUCAGAAUUCCUUGGGCUUCAAAGAAGAUUUUACACAAUUUAAAAAAUUAGAACAAUUUUUAAAUAUGGAUACAAAUUUCUGACUGCAAGAUUAUUUCCAGUUGGACUGAUCAACAACGAGCUGCUGCAGCCAAGGAAGGUUGGGGAUACAGAUUAGUGUUUUCUGCACGCCUGAUUGGACUAUUUCUUGUUACCGAUGCAUUAUUUAUUGGCGCUCAGCAACUUGGGCACUAUCUUCAGGAGAUCAGGACCCAUUGAGAUACUAUGGCUACAUUUGAGUUAUUGAUUAACCCUGGUGUAGACAAUGUUCCUUUGUUUUGGAUGAGAAAAUAGAGACAACAGGCUGAGGAACUCAAUUUUGAAUGCAGACCUUGAUGGAGGCUUAUAUUCCAUCCUUUAGUUAGAUUUACCAGCAGGUGCUUUCUGGAAUUUAUGUCAUAAUAGGCUUAUCUUAUUCUUAGGAUUAUAAAUCCAAGUUUAGCUGGGUAGUGAUUUUAGCUUAGGUUUCUCCCGUGUGGCUGGCUACGAUCUAAGAAGUAUUUUUUGGCCAAACCAAAUUCUUGUAUUUUCUUAGAAAUUUCCAGAACCCAAAAAAUGUCAUCAUACUGCUUCAUUAAUGUUAAUAUUUUGUUGUGUGUAUGUA